AAGACCUAGAGGUCACUUUAAUCUUAUAAGCACAUUCUUCAGAUUGUCAUGUGGGUGGGUAACUUCUGCCAGACUUUUCUGGAGAUGGCUAAUCCAGCCGUGGGAUGUGGUUUCUUCUAACAGCCAGUCAGGAAAAUCUUGCUUCUCAAACUCCCGUCUUGACCCCUUCCUGAACUUUGCCUCCUGGAUCUUGAGGCCUGCCUUCGUGGAAGAGAAAUACUAGAAUCAAUGAACUGUGAACUAGAGCCCUGGGAUUAUCAACAGCCAGCUGAAAUUUUGAGAGCCACCUUGUAGAAAGCCUAACAGCAAAGACUGGAGAGAGGCUUCCAGCCAACAGCCAGCAAGGAAUUGAAGCCCUCAGUCCAAUAGCAGUGAGGAAUUGAAUCCUGCCAACAGCCUCGUGGAUGGUUGCUUGCUGCCUGACUCUAACUCCUGCUACUACUGCAAACACCACUGCCAUGAAUAUCUUCAGCAAAACCCCCUUCCAGACCUGCAUGAACAGUUGCGUGAAAUGUAUAUGCACAAAGGGACUGCAAGGGAAGACCCAGAGACUAGGGAAGAACUUGGAACAACCAUCUCAGUUUCUUCAAUUCCUAAUCUGAGAGUAUUGCUGUUUUUAAAUGAAGACCGACUGAUUCAUGCUGGGCUUCAGACAUGAGAGGCUAGGAGUAGGAGGCAUGCCUUGUUCAAAGAUAUCCAGUUCUCCCAGGACCAUUUGUUGAAAAGGCAAGCACCUUUUUACAGAAGAGGAAACUGAGGCCCAGAAGGAGAAGUGGCAUGCCCAAGGCUGUGCCAGAAGCAAAGUGUAAAAUAGAACCUGAGCCUCCCACCCCUGGUCAGUGCUAUACAUACAUUUACAUUUAACAUAAAUUUAAAUUUAAAUUGUUUGAAUAUGAAAAGUUAUUUUAUUAGCUCUCAGGUUCACUAAUGAUGUAAUUUCUAACAAAUGAAUAAAGGUUAGGUUGAUAGAGCAGGUGAUAAUUUUAAUGUGUUGUUCACAAAUUCUUUGGUACUUCUUUUCUCAAGAGGUGGAACUUAAUUCUCCUUUCUUUAAGUGUGAACUGAAUUUAGUAACUUGCUCCUAAAGAUUAGAAUGUGGCAGAAAUGACAGUGAGUGGCUUCUGAGAUUAGGUCAUAAAAGGCAUUACAGUUUCCUCCUCAAUUUCUCUCUCAGUAACUCCUCCAGGGGACAUCGGCAUCUGUUCUGACUCUUUGCUUCCAUGUCUUGAGGAAGCAGCCUCCUGCCUAUGGCCAUCUGAGGAAGCCAUCUUGGAAGCAGACCCCCCAGCCCCAGUCAAGCCUUCAGAUGACUGCAGUCUCAGCUGACAUCUUGACUUUAACUAAAAAUAAAAAAUAAAAAAUAAAACAAACAAAUAAACAAAAAAACUCCAAGCCAGAACUACCCAACUGGAAUUUGAGAUCUGCUUUCAAAUCCUGGCCCAUAGAAACUUAGAUAAUAAGUGUUUGCUAUUUUAAGCCACUCAUUUUUAGAGAAAUUUGUUAUGCAGCAAUAGCUAGCUAGUACAGAGAAUUAACCAGCCUCUCUUAAAUUACCACCACAAAAUCAACUACCUAUUUUAUUAAAAGGUAAAACCAGCUGCUGAAGAACGUUUUUCCUCUCAAGGCUUUGGCACUUAAGAUUCAACAGUAAGAAGGAUUGAAGAGUGAAGGCUUCCUGGCUACCCCAUGACAUCCUGUUUGGUCUGAAGCCUGAUAAGAGACUGAUGUGGAAAAAUGUGUCUCUUCUCAAGGGCUAACUCUGGAACCUUGGGAAAAUAUUCUAGAUUUGGAUCACAUUAAAAUGGGUAUUAGACCUAGGUUCUAGUUCCAGCUCAAAGAUCUGGAUGUGUCAAAAUCCUUUUCCCUUUGUAGGUUUUAAGUUUGGCCUCUUUAAAUAAAGAAACAAUCACCCAUGCUUUGUCUUUUAACUUGCUACUUAAAACAAGCAGCUGAAGACACUGGCCAUCAUCAAAUAACUAAUGGACAAUUCCCACUGCCUCGCUGAAAUUUGCAGUCUGACUCUUAUCAUCUCUUGCUUUUUUUUUUUUUUUUUUCCUUUGGCUGUGUUUGUGAAACUGCCUUUGCAAAGAUUAUG